CGUUCCCGGGCCUUGUACACACCGCCCGUCACACCACGAAAGUGGGCAACACCCGAAGCCGGUGGCCCAACCCUUGUGGAGGGAGCCGUCGAGGGUGGGGCUCGCGAUUGGGGUG
rnacentral:rRNA from 1 species